UUUACAACUAGAUGAGGAAGGAAAGAACAGCACGCAUGAAACAGUUUGAAAAUGAUAGUUGGAAUGAGGACAACGCUAGACCCCUGGGCAGCGCUUGACCAUCUCUCUCUCUCUCUUCCGAAAAUCAUUAGUUUGGAGGAACAGAUCUUGUUGCUUUUUGGAGAACCUGGAACUUAGGAAGUCCAGGGAAUUUUGGUGUGCUGUAGGGGAAUAGCUACUAAAUUCUAAAGACAGAAUGAUACUUGAGUUUUUUGUUUUGAUACCUAUAAGCAAUAAAAUGUAGCAUGUUGAAGUUCCUGACCCUUACCCUGUGGGUUCCAUGUAUAUAAUUCCAGUCACAACUGUGUAUUUUUGGUUAAAACAUCAACAAUGACAACUUCCUCAUUUCAUUGUCUUUCUUUCCCAUCCAGUUCACAUGAUGUAUUGCUGCUACGUUAAUAUUUGUGGCUGAAGCACCCCACAGUGACUGCCCAGUGACUCAUGCCCUGCAUAAUCCUCUCUCUGCGUGCAGAUGAGACCUUUGACUUGCUUCUAAACGAAUAGAAUACGGCAAAGGCGAUGGACUGUGCCUCCCCGAUACAGACAGGUUAUGACAGGUUACUGUCUGCAUCAUCUGUACCUACAGUUUUGGUGACCAUGGAGUGUCCCACAGCUGACUGCUCUCCUUUGCCUAAACUCUGCACGGAUCCAAACACUUGCUACCAGCCAGGCCCCUUGUCCCUGUCCAUCUCCUAAAUGAGCCCAGAUGAUAUGGUAAGUUUCUCCUAGUCUGGAAACUUCUGUCUUAGAUGAUUGAUCCUGAUUUUUAUUAUGUGGUGUAUAGACUCCACACUAGUAGAGUUUCCCUGGACUUAAGGUAAUUCAGGAAGGAAGUACCUUGAAUUCUAAGUUGGAAGAUGCUGGGAAGACUGCUCAGUUGAAAGACACUGGCGAGGUUUGGACUGGGUGAUUAGGUAGGAGACGGUCCUGUUCUUUUCCUUGAAUGGGUUGCUUUCAUAGAGUUUGUUGGAAUAAAAGUUAACAUGCCAUAGGUGAGCUUUCA
rnacentral:lncRNA from 1 species